GACGAACGCUGGCGGCGUGCUCAACACAUGCAAGUCGAACGGAGAGGCGAACGGGUGAGUAACACGUUGGUGAUACGCGUUGCACUUCGGGAUAAGCUGGGGAAACUGGGCCUAAUACUGGAUAGUGCAAGAUGAGGUCGAGGCCUAGCAGCUUGUUGGUGGGGUAAUGGACUACCAAGGCGUCGACGGGUAGCCGGCCUGAGAGGCUGUACGGCCACAUUGGGACUGAGGUACUGCCCAGACCCCUGCCGGUGACAUCCGUUGGGACUAUUGCCCAAUGGGCGGCCGGCUUCUGCCGCGACUCCGCGUGGGAGAUGGAGGCCUUCUGGUUGUAAACUCCUUUCGACAGUGCCGCGGUACCUGUAUAAGAAGCACCGGCUAACUACGUGCCAGCCGCCGCGGUAAUUC
rnacentral:rRNA from 1 species